AUUUAUACUUCAGACUAAAAAAUCAAACAGUACUUAUGUCAAAUUAACUUUUAAAUCUAUUUCGGUGGAAUUCUCAAAACCGAAUCAGUUGUAGAUCCCAUCUCGAAAGUCAAAAUACUCCAGUUAAAUUCACCAAAUUGUUCCCCACGUCGUUUGCACAAUCUAUAUAUUAGCUUAUUAGCAGAAGCAGCACAAGAAGCCUUCAUAAUAACGACGUGCAGGACCAAACAGAAAGCUCACGGCUUUGAAAAAAAAAAAAAGAAAGCAAAUAGUUUAAACUUUGCCACACGGAUCAAAACACGCUAAUGAGCAGGGCCGAGUCAUCCAUAGAUAAAAAAGUAACCAUGCAAGUAAAGUAACAAAGGAACAGAGACCUGCACCAUGACUGCCAGUUGCAAAAUGCGAGGAUUCACGCACUUUGGCAACAAUGCCACUUCUCUGUCCGGCUGCAUUAAAUGGGGCCUUUUUUGCAAUUUUCUAAGAGGGUAAAAUAAGAAUUCCAUUUAAAGUAAUUAAUUUGGGCUUAUGAGAUGAAUUAAGGAGGUUAAAAUAUCAUCCUCUCUAAAUCUGUUGUAGGGAUGUGUAAGAUCCAAUUCAAUCCAAUUAAACCAAUCAAUCCAAUUUUUGUCAAAUGACCUUUUGAUUAAAAUAGAAUAUAAAAUGCUAUAGAUUGAUUUAUGGAUCUAUAUAUUCAAAACUCAAUAUAAACUAAUCCAACCAA
rnacentral:lncRNA from 1 species